rnacentral:rRNA from 1 species
CCCUUAGAUGUCCUGGGCCGCACGCGCGCUACACUGACAUGUUCAACAAGCCUCCUAGUUCGACAGGAUUUGGGAAAUCUUUGAACGCAUGUCGUGAUAGGGAUAGAUCAUUGCAAUUAUUGAUCUUGAACGAGGAAUUCCUGGUAAACGCGAGUCAUCAGCUCGCAUUGAUUACGUCCCUGCCCUUUGUACACACCGCCCGUCGCACCUACCGAUUGAAUGUUUCGGUGAAGAUUCCGGAUAGGACUUUUUUGAUUUAUUUCAAUUUUGUCUUAAAAGCUAUCUAAACCUCAACAUUUAGAGGAAGGUGAAGUCGUAACA